rnacentral:rRNA from 1 species
AUUGAACGCUGGCGGCAGGCUAAACACAUGCAAGUCGAGCGGGGUGAUGGUGCUUGCACUAUCACUUAGCGGCGGACGGGUGAGUAAUGCUUAGGAAUCUGCCUAUUAGUGGGGGACAACAUCUCGAAAGGGGUGCUAAUACCGCAUACGUCCUACGGGAGAAAGCAGGGGAUCACUUGUGACCUUGCGCUAAUAGAUGAGCCUAAGUCGGAUUAGCUAGUUGGUGGGGUAAAGGCCUACCAAGGCGACGAUCUGUAGCGGGUCUGAGAGGAUGAUCCGCCACACUGGGACCGAGACACGGCCCAGACUCCUACGGGAGGCAGCAGUGGGGAAUAUUGGACAAUGGGGGGAACCCUGAUCCAGCCAUGCCGCGUGUGUGAAGAAGGCCUUAUGGUUGUAAAGCACUUUAAGCGAGGAGGAGGCUCUUUUGGUUAAUACCCAAGAUGAGUGGACGUUACUCGCAGAAUAAGCACCGGCUAACUCUGUGCCAGCCGCCGCGGUAA